rnacentral:rRNA from 1 species
UACGUGCCAGCAGCCGCGGUAAUACGUAGGCAGCGAGCGUUGUUCGGAGUUACUGGGCGUAAAGGGUGUGUAGGCGGUUAUUUAAGUUUGGUGUGAAAUCUCCCGGCUCAACCGGGAGGGUGCGCCGAAUACUGAAUGACUUGGAGUGCGGGAGAGGAAAGUGGAAUUCCUGGUGUAGUGGUGAAAUGCGUAGAUAUCAGGAGGAACACCGGUGGUGUAGACGGCUUUCUGGACCGUAACUGACGCUGAGACACGAAAGCGUGGGUAGCAAACAGGAUUAGAUACCCUGGUAGUCCACGCCUUAAACGAUGCAUAUUUGGUGUGGGCAGUUCAUUCUGUCCGUGCCGGAGCUAACGCGUUAAAUAUGCCGCCUGGGGAGUACAGUCGCAAGGCUGAAACUCAAAGGAAUUGACGGGGGCCCGCACAAGCGGUGGAGCGUGUGGUUCAAUUCGACGCAACGCGAAGAACCUUACCUGGGCUCGAACGGCUGGUCAACGGCGGUGGAAACAUCGCUACCCCGCAAGGGGGUCCAGUCGAGGUGCUGCAUGGCUGUCGUCAGCUCGUGUCGUGAGAUGUUGGGUUAAGUCCCGCAACGAGCGCAACCCUUGUCCUGUGUUGCCAUACCGAAAGGUGGAACUCGCAGGAGACCGCCAAGGAUAACCUGGAGGAAGGUGGGGGUGACGUCAAGUCCUCAUGGCCUUUAUGUCCAGGGCUACAUACGUGCUACAAUGGACGGUACAAAGCGCAGCAAACC